rnacentral:lncRNA from 1 species
CAAAAAAAAAAAAAAAAAGAAAGAAAGAAAAAAUGAGGCAUGGCAGCACGUGCCUGUAGUCCCAGCUACCUGGGAGGCUGAGAUGGGAGGACCACCAGAGCCCAAGAGGUUGAGACUGUAGUGAGCUAUGAUCGCACCACUGCACUCCAGCCUGGGCAACAGAGAGAAACCCUAUCUCAAAGAAAAAAUAUAAAAAAAAAAAAGAAAGAAAGAUAAUAUUCCAGUAAAAGUCCAAGUUUUUUUUUUACUUUCCCUCUCCACCACCUCCCCUAGAAGCCUCCACCCACAAGCCCAUCCAUUCUGUUUUCCACUUUUUUUUUUUUCUUUUUGGAGUCAGAGUCUCGCUCUGUCGCCCAGGCUGGAGUGCAGUGGCACGAUCUUGGCUCACUGCAACCUCCUCCUCCUGGGUUCAAGCGAUUCUCCUACUUCAGCCUCCUGAAUAGCUGGGAUUACAGCUGUGCGCCACCACGCCCAGCUAAUUUUUGUAUUUUUAGUAGAGAUGGGGUUUCACCAUGUUGGCCAGGCUGGUCUCGAACUCCUGGCCUCAAGUGAUCUGCCUGCCUCAGCCUCCCAAAGUGCUGGGAUUACAGGCAUGAGCCACCAUGCCCGGCCUCUGUUUUCCACUUUUGCACACAUAUCCACAGAUCCGUGAUCAUGAUACUGAAUAUUCUUCGAUCUGAUUUUCCUUUUUAAUUCGCAUAGGCCAGAGUUCAGCAAACUGUUUGUUGUAAAGGACCAGACAAUAAAUACUUUCGGCUGGGCGUGGUGGUUCACGCCUAUAAUCCCAGCACUUUGGGAGGCCGAGGCGGGCGGAUCACAGUGUCAGGAGAUCGAAACCAUCCUGGCUAAAGCGGUGAAACCCCGUCUCUACUAAAAGUACAAAAAAUUAGCCGGGCAUGGUGGCAGGUGCCUGAAGUCCCAGUUACUCAGGAGGCUGAGGCAGGAGAAUGGUGUGAACCUGUGAGGUGGUGCGGCUUGCAGUGAGCUGAGAUCGCGCCACUGCACUCCAGCCUGGGCUACAGAGCGAGACUCCGUCUCAAAAAAAAAAAAAUUUACUGUAUUCCAUUGUCAAUAUAUCUUUGACACUUUCACAAGUCAACAUAUGUGUCAUGUAUGAUAUUCCAAAACAGGCAUUGCUACCUUAAAAUGUGGUGGUUAUAAGCACCGUGGAGAGAACUUGACUCUUUGAGUCCAAUUUUUUUUUUUUUUUUGAGACAGAGUCUCGCUCUGUUGCCCAGGCUGGAGUGCAGUGGCGUGAUCUUGGUUCACUGCAACCUUUGCAUCCUGGGCUAAGUGAUUCUUGUGCCUCAGACUCCCCAGUAGCUGGGAUUACAGGUGUGUGCCACCACACCCAGCUAAUUUUUGUAUUUUUAAUAGAGAGGGGGAUUUCACCAUGUUGGCCAGCCUGGUCUCGAACUCCUGACCUCAAGUGACCUGCCCACCUUGGCCUCCCAAAGUGCUGAGAUUACAGGCGUGAGGCACCAUGCCUGGCCUGAGUUCAAAUUACUACUCAGCUAUUAGUAGCUGAGGUGGGGCUGAGGGUGGGCUCUCUGGAUUACACCUCAUUUUCCCUGGAGAUAAUAGCAUCUAUCUGAUGGGAUUGGGAAAAAGAUCGGGUGAGAGCCAGGUGCAGUGACUCUCACCUGUAAUCCCAGUGCUUUGGGAGGUUGAGUGGGAGGUCGCUUGAGCCCAGGAGUUUGAGACCAGCCUAGGCAACAUAGCAAGACCCACAUCUGUGUGUGUGUGUGUGUGUGUGUGUGUGUGUGUGUAUAAUUUAGCUGAGUGUGGUGGUGCACGCCUGUAGUUCCCAGAUACUCAAGAGGAUGAGGUGGGGCCAGAUGUGGUGGCUCACACCUGUAACCUCAGUACUUUGGGAGGCCGAGGUGGGCAGAUCACUUGAGGUCAGGAGUUUGAGACCAGCCUGGCUAACAUGGUGAAACCCCAUCUCUACUAAAAAUACAAAAUUACAUCCUGGCUAACACGGUGAAACCCUGUCUCUACUAAAAAUACAAAAAAUUAGCCGGUUGUAGUGGCAGGCACCUGUAGUCCCGGCUACUCGGGAGGCUGAGGCAGGAGAAUGGCGUGAACCCAGGAGGUGGAGCUUGCGGUGAGCCGAGAUCGUGCCACUGUACUCCAGCCUUAGCCGGGCGUGGUGGUGCACGCCUGUAAUCCCAGCUACUCGGGAGGCUGAGGCGGGAAAACCACUCGAACCUGGGAGGUGGAGGUUGCGGUGAGCUGAGAUAGUACCACUGCACCCCAGCCUGGGCAACAGAGUACAACUCUGUCUCAAAAAAGAGCGAAAAAAAAAAAAAAAAAGGCUGGCAUAGUGGCUCACGCCUGUAAUCCAGCACUUUGGGAGGCCGAGGCGGGCAGAUCACUUGAGGUCAGGAGUUCAAAGCCAGCCUGGCCAAUAUGGCAAAACCCCGUCUCUAGUAAAAUUCAAAAAUUAGCCGGGCAUGGUGGGGCACGCACCAGUAAUCCCUGUGGCUGUUGGUUAUAGGGAGUGGAUUCCUAUGUAACAUUCAUUGAACUGUCCCUUUAAGAUUCAUAUACUUGGGUGCAUAUGAAUUCAACUUGAAUAUGGAUUAACAAAGAGAAAGUAACAUGUGGUUGGUGAUGGGGGAAAUGAACCCUCUCAGGACUUAGGGUGGGAGUGAAAAGACUGACAAUGAUUUGGGCAACAGUCCAGCAGUAUUUAGUAAGACUGAGAAUGUAUCUUCUCCAUGUCCCUGGGAGAAGUCCCUGAAGUUCCCCUUCUCUGUAGCUACCGUAGAGAAACACUGUAGAUUGUCACUUGGAUUUUUUUCCGAGAUGGUAUCUUGCUCUGUUGCCCAGGCUGGAGUGCAGUAGUGCGAUCUUGGCUCACUGCAGUCUCAAACUCCUGGGCUCAAGUGACCCUCCCACCUUACCAUGCCUGGCUAACUUAAAAAAAAAAAAUUUGUGUAGAGAUGGGGUCUUGCUAUGUUGCCCAGGCCAGUCUCAAACUCCUGGCCUCAAGUGAUCCUCCCACCUCGGCCUCCCAAAGUGCUGGGAUUACAGGCGUGAGCCACUGUGCCAGGCCUGCCAGUGUCUUGAUCUUGGACUUCCCCGCCUCCGGAACUGUGAGAAAUCAAUUUCUGUUGCUCAUAAAUUACCCAGCCUGGCCAGGCACUUUGGGAGGACGUGGUGAGAGGAACGCUUGAGCUCAGGAGUUCAAGAUCAGCCUGGGCAACAUAGCAAGACCCCGUCUCUACAAAAUAAAUAAAUGAAUAAAUAAAUUACCCUGCCUAAGAUAUUUCUGUUCUAGCAGCAGGGACAGAUGAAGACACACACACGUACACACAUGGCCUGUAUGCAGUUGUGGGUGAAGUUUAUUAAGGCAAUACUGAAUACCAGAGCAUUUCAACAAGGCUUACCACACAGGCUGAUAUUCAGGGACAUCGGUGUA